UGCAAUAGCACUGACACUUAAAGUUAAGUGUUUUCUUGCUUGGUCUUAGCACUCUAGCCAAAUGGAUUUUGAGGGCCUCCUAUUCAUGGGUCACAGCUGCUUGACUCAAGGAUUUUUGCCUAUGCAUGCCCUGACAGUCAGAUACUAACUCACUUGGAUGCCUGCCUCUCACACUGCUCUACUUUAUGAAGUCAAGACCAUUAAUAAAAUCCAGUUUACAGAAAGGCCUAGAGAAGGUUAUUUCUCUGAACACUUCGCUGUACCUACUUCCAUAACAGAUGAACUUACCAGAUGUAACAGAAGCGGUUCUUCUGUUCUCGUGGAAGAUGAAGUUGUCCUUUGUUUUGAUGAGUCCUGAAGGACUUAAAGGAACAGGACCUAGAAAGAAGAGGGGCAGCUUUGUUGGAAUUUAUUGCUGGUUCUGCACAGGCCCUGGCCCGGGUCCCAGGGACAUCAGGGCCCAGAGACCUCACGUGGCUUGUCCUCACCUGGCUUGCCUAGGUUUGAGGUGUUGCUCAAGACAGAGCCUUUGCUGCUGCCCCUGAACACUGCCUGCCAGCACCCCAGCCCACCACCCUGACCUCAUCACCCCGGAAAGGAGCAAGCUCAUCAAAUAGGACAGUGCUUGGGGUCUUCGCCAGUAGCUAGCACUGGCUGCUGUUUAUGAGCAUCUGUUAUACACAAGGCAGUGGAGCAUUCUCACAUUUAAUCCUCAACACAGUGCUAUCAGAGAUGGGGGUCUUGUUAUGUCACCCAGGCUGGCCUUGAACGCUUGGUCUCAAGAGAUCCUCCUGCCUCAGCCUCCUGCGUAACUGGGACUACAGGAACAUACCACCAUACCCAGUUACUUUCAAGGAUCUGAAUUCAGGUCUGUUAGUCUCCAAAUAACUGUACUUUUAACCACUACUCCUUAAGAAUUUGGUCAUUCAGGAUUAAGUUUAGCUGUAUAACCAGAAACUCCAAAUAAUAAAAGUUUAAAUUAGAUACAAAUUUAUUUUCCACUCACAUGAAGAAGUCCAGAGGUAGUCAAGUUGUGGCUAGUGAAUUCUAUUAGGGGUUCAGGCAUCUGCAGUGUUCUUGCUUUGUCCUCCUUAGCACAAUGUUUCCACCACUGGGUCCAGAGUGGCAGCCUGAGCUCAGCAAUUCCAUCUGCAUUCCAGCCAGCAGGAGUAAGGAUGAGGAGAAAGGGCAUGUUUCCUUCCUUUGGGGGCGUUUUUUAGACGAUACAUACCAAACUUCUACUUGCAUGUCAUUUGCCAUAACUUAGUCAAUGGCCAUACUAGCUGCAUGGGAAGCUAAAAAAUGUUACCUUUGUUUUGGGCAGUGAAGUGACCAGCUUAAAAUUAAGAAAUUGAUUACUAAAAAGGGAAAAAUGGUUAUCAGGAUACAACUAGUAAGCUCAACUACAACUGUUAGACCUAAGUCUGCAAUGCUAAGCCACAUAGUAAAUGAUGAAAAGUCAAAAGUAGAGACUUGAAUAUAUGAUGUAAAUUUUUCUAGGUCGCAAUUUUAUGCAUGGUUUAAUGUUUCAUUUUUGUCCAGUUGUUAAACUGUUUGCUAGAUUAACAAUAUUCAUCUUGAAUGUAAAAUGUUAUAGCCACUAUGGAAGACAGUUUGGUGGUUCCUCAAAAAGUUAAAUCUAGAAUUACCCUAUGACCCAGCAAUUUCACUCCUAGAUAUAUACCCAAGACAGCUGAAAAUAUAUGUUCACACAAAAAUGUGUACACAAAUAUUCAUAGCAGCAUUAUUCAAAAUAGACAAAAAUGUAAACAGCCCAAAUGUCCAGUAAUGAUGCAUGGAUAAACAAAAUGUGGUCGGUCCAUACAAUGAAAUAUUCAGCAAUAAAAAGGAAUGAAGUACUGAUACAUGCUAAGACACAAAUGGACCUUGAAAGCAUUAUGCUAAGUGAAAGAGGCCAGACAUAAUGGCCACAUAUUGUAUGAUUCCAUUUACAUGAAAUGUCUAGAAUAGGGAAAUCCACAGAGACAGAAAGUAGAGUAGCGAUUGCCAGGGAAUGGUGGGAAGGAGGCACAAGGGUGAGGUUUCUGUUUGGAAUGAUAAAAACGUUGUAGAAGUAGAUAGUAGUGUUGGUUGCACAACAUAAUGAGGACACUAGAAAUCACUGAAGUGGAUACUUUAAAAUGGUGAUUUUCAGCCAGGCAUGGUGGCUUACGCCUGGAAUCCCAACACUUUGGGAGGGUGAGGUGGGCGGAUCACUUGAGGUCAGGAGUUUGAAACCAGCCUGGCCAACAUGGUGAAACCCUGUCUCUACUAAAAAUAUAUAUAUUAAAAAAUUAGCCAGGCAUGGUGGCGGG
rnacentral:lncRNA from 10 species